rnacentral:misc_RNA from 1 species
CAAUAAGUGUUCAAUGGCACUUUAAAACCCAUUACCCACCUUGUGUGCAAUGUAAGGAGGAGGGGGUUGUGUCAGACUUGUUUUGGUCUGGUUUCCCCUCUUUCAUUAUACAUACCAAAUCUUCUCGUGUUGUCUACUUUUUGAGUAUAAAAAACUCGAAUA